AGUCAUUUUGUCUCCUCCAGAACUGACUGUCCUACUCUUUGACCUCAGGAAAUCUUAAAAUUCACCGCGAGCAUCCUCAACUCUCCAACGCACUUUGGACAGGGACAGGAAAGCGCCUGAUCGUCUUCCCCUUCGAGGUCUCUGGAUCCAGGGAAGUCACAGCCAAGGAAAUGCAUGUGAGAAGCCUAACCCUCAUUUGGACUUGACAGAAAUCACAGGAUCCUAGACUUUGCCAUAAUUGAAUGCAAUUCAUGGGGGUCCUGGCGGGACUCAGUAUAUUUUUGCAUGUGAAAGGACUGUGAAUAAUUGGAAUUACAGGAAAGGCGAUUGUCUACUUUUGUAGUAAUGGCCACCAGUGAUUCAUGCCCUCAGUCUGCAAGUAGCCCCUUCCCACGUUGACUCUGGACUUGGCUAUGUGAAUGACUAUGGCUGCCAAUGGGACAUCAGCACAUGCAAUGCAUGCAGAGGCCUGGAGAAACACUUGCUCCCUAGGGCUUGCCCUCUCUUGCUGCUUCCAUGGAGCCCUCCCAUCACUACAUGAAUGAGCCCGGGUUGACUGAUCAGAGGAUGGGAGACUAUGUGGAGAAGAGCCCCAACUGUCCCAGCCAGCCCAGCUGAGGGUCUCAAAGAUGUCACUGAGUUCCACUCCAGCCCAACUGGCUCAGACUAGAGGAAAUACUAGUUAUUCCACAGGAUCAUUUGAUUGUGUUAAACCAUUAAGUUUUGAGGUGGUUUUUUAAGGCGGAGAAAGUUAACCAAUAUGGAAAGGCUCAAAUAUAGAUAAAUCCGGCAGCAGAUGGAAGACAGGGGAGGUGACAUUGAGGUAGCAAAAUCUCUGGAGCCAGUUGUGUGGGCAGUUUCCUAAGAAAACCUAAAGCAGUUCACAGAGGGUGACCCUACUAUGGCCGAUGGAGAGCUACAAAAAAGAAAAUGCCAGAAGUCAAGUUCAAUGGGAAAAUUGAAGAUGGAAACUGAAGCAUGAAUAGUAAGUUUGGAAGUCUGUGGGAUUAAGAAGAGACCAAGUGGUGGGAGAAAUGAAGGGGUUAGACCAAGCGAUUCAGAAAUAAAGCUUUGGGCAAGAGGAAGUCAUAGGUCCUCCUUUUAUGAAGCAACUAAUAAUGCCUAUACCCUACUGUACAGCAAUUAAAUCUGAAUCUCUGAGAGUAGGGUCUAGGUAUUUUUUAAGCAUUGAAAAAAAGCUUUGAAAGAGUAUUUAAAAGCUUCGCAGGUGAUUGGAUUAUGGAGUAGGAGAAGACUCUGGAAGAGAUGAUGCAAUCCCUAGAGCAAGACCCAUCAGGUUUCUGAGAAAUGAGUAAAUACAGAAUCUCUCGGAAUCUCCUCAUUUUCAUAUAUUUUGUGAUUGAUCUAAACUGCUAUUAACCUCAAAGAUCAGUGUUAGGACUUGAUGACUAAUGGCUAUUUCUGAGUGAAAAAUGAAAUAGCACUUAUUUUCAUAAUGUAAUAAAAUUCAAGUGCACAUUA